rnacentral:pre_miRNA from 1 species
CUUAUACUCCCUCCGUUCGGAAUUACUUGUCGUAGAUAUGGAUGUAUCUAGAUGUAUUUUAGUUCUAGAUACAUCCAUUUUCGCGACAAAUAAUUCCGAACGGAGCGAGUAUUUA